UGAAUGGAGGGCUUCCACUGAUCAUUUCUCUCUCACUCCAGCGUUUCCUCACGUUACGAAUAAAGAAGAUUAUUUGGGUGUCACUCCAGAGAUGAAGUGUUCUCCAGGUUUCAUGAUUGUCCUACUCUUAGUGCUUGGACAAACCCACGGAGACUUAGUGACCCAGAUGGAAGGCCAGGUGACCCUUUCAGAAGAGGCUUUCCUGACUGUGAACUGUAAUUAUUCAGCAUCAGGGUACCUUGCCCUUUUCUGGUAUGUCCAGUAUCUGAGAGAAGGUCCACAACUCCUCCUGAAAGCAUCAAGAGACAAGGAGAAGGGAAGUAACAAAGGUCUCGAAGCCACCAAUGACAGAUCAUCCAGAUCCUUCCACUUGAAGAAAAGCUCAGUGCAAAUGUCAGACUCAGCUGUGUACUACUGUGCCCUGAGAGACACGGUGACUGGGACUGCAGGGGGAGCUGGGUGCAAACUCUGAGCAGAGCAGGGGCGUGGACGCUGAGCCUCCCUGACUGAUCCACUCUGGUUCCAGCACAGUCUGUGGUUGUUUGUCUCUCAGUAUCUGGUUGAUGCAAAAAUCAUAUAAACAGGUAUAGCAUAGGAACCAAAGUAACACUGCCCACCCAGCUGUUCAUUUGUGACAUUAACAAUAGUUUGAUGACAAGAGUUCCUCAGUC